rnacentral:rRNA from 1 species
AACGAACGCUGGCGGCGCGCCUAAUACAUGCAAGUCGAACGAGAAGGUGUAGCAAUACACUUGUACAGUGGCGAACGGGUGAGGAAUGCAUGGGCAACCUACCCUCGAGUGGGGAAUAACCAGCCGAAAGGUUGGCUAAUACCGCGUACGCUUCCGGGUCUCCGGAUCCGGAAGGAAAGUCACACCGUGGGUGUGACGCUCAAGGAUGGGCUCAUGUCCUAUCAGCUUGNGGUGAGGUAACGGCUCACCAAGGCAACGACGGGUAGCUGGUCUGAGAGGACGAUCAGCCACACUGGCACUGCGACACGGGCCAGACUCCUACGGGAGGCAGCAGUAAGGAAUAUUGCGCAAUGGGCGAAAAGCCUGACGCAGCGACGCCGCGUGGGGGAUGAAGGUCUUCGGAUUGUUAAACCCCCUUUUAGGUAGGG